rnacentral:rRNA from 1 species
UACGUAGGGGGCUAGCGUUGUCCGGAAUCAUUGGGCGUAAAGAGCGUGUAGGCGGUCCGGUAAGUCCGCUGUGAAAGUCGGGGGCUCAACCCUCGAAUGCCGGUGGAUACUGUCGGGCUAGAGUGCGGAAGAGGCGAGUGGAAUUCCUGGUGUAGCGGUGAAAUGCGCAGAUAUCAGGAGGAACACCAAUAGCGAAGGCAGCUCGCUGGGACGGUAUUGACGCUAAGGCGCGAAAGCGUGGGGAGCAAACAGG